rnacentral:tRNA from 1 species
CAAGACGUAACUUAAUAAAGUAUUUCGCUUACACCGAAAAAAUAUCCGUGAGACCCGGGUCAUUUGA